rnacentral:rRNA from 1 species
GUCUGCAACUCGACUACAUGAAGCUGGAAUCGCUAGUAAUCGCAGAUCAGAAUGCUGCGGUGAAUACGUUCCCGGGUCUUGUACACACCGCCCGUCACACCAUGGGAGUCGGAAAUGCCCGAAGCCUGUGAGCCAACUUUUUAAGAGGCAGCAGUCGAAGGUAGAAUCAAUGAUUGGGGUGAAGUCGUAACAAGGUAGC